UAAGCGGAGGAAAAGAAACUAACAAGGAUUCCCUUAGUAGCGGCGAGCGAAGCGGGAUGAGCUCAAAUUUGAAAUCUGGCGUCUUUCAGGCGUCCGAGUUGUAAUCUAUAGAAGCGUUUUCUGUGCUGGACCGUGUCCAAGUCCCUUGGAACAGGGUAUCAAAGAGGGUGACAAUCCCGUACUUGACACGACCACCAGUGCUCUGUGAUACGUUUUCUACGAGUCGAGUUGUUUGGGAAUGCAGCUCAAAAUGGGUGGUAAAUUCCAUCUAAAGCUAAAUAUUGGCGAGAGACCGAUAGCGAACAAGUACCGUGAGGGAAAGAUGAAAAGCACUUUGGAAAGAGAGUUAAACAGUACGUGAAAUUGUUGAAAGGGAAACGAUUGAAGUCAGUCGUGUCUAUUGGUUUCAGCCGGUCCUGCCGGUGUAUUACCUUUAGACGGGUCAACAUCAGUUUUGGACGGUGGAUAAUAGCAGUUUGAAUGUGGCACCUCCGGGUGUGUUAUAGCUUUCUGUUGCAUACACUGUCCGAGACUGAGGACUGCAGCUCGCCGCAAGGCCGGGGUCUCGACCCACGUUACGAGCUUAGGAUGUUGACAUAAUGGCUUUAAACGACCCGUCUUGAAACACG
rnacentral:rRNA from 1 species